rnacentral:pre_miRNA from 1 species
AACAUACUCCCUCCGUCCGGAAAUACUUGUCAGAGAAAUGGAUGUAUAUAGACAUAUUUUAGUUCUAGAUACAUCCAUUUUUAUGCAUUUCUUCGACAAGUUUUUUCGGACGGAGGGAGUACUUU